UACAGAGGUCUCAAGCGUUGUUCGGAUUCAUUGGGCGUAAAGGGUGCGUAGGCGGCGCGGUAAGUCGGGUGUGAAAUCUCGGAGCUUAACUCCGAAACUGCAUUCGAUACUGCCGUGCUUGAGGACUGGAGAGGAGACUGGAAUUCAUGGUGUAGCAGUGAAAUGCGUAGAGAUCAUGAGGAAGACCAGUGGCGAAGGCGGGUCUCUGGACGGUUUCUGACACUAAGACUCGAAAGCGUGGGGAGCAAACAGG
rnacentral:rRNA from 1 species